rnacentral:rRNA from 1 species
AGAGCCCAGCACCGAAGCCUGUGGCCAGUUGGUCAUUAGGCAAUGUGGUGUUUAGGUCGUUCCGCAGAAGUACUGCUCCACCCCAAGUCCAUCAAUGAGUACGGUAGUACAGACAUGGCCCAUGGAGGGUGAAAGGCCCGUUCGGGUGGAGAUUCGGCAGGCCAGUGCUUCUCUGGAUAGACCUUGGAGUCGGGUUGUUUGUGAAUGCAGCCCAAAGUGGGUGGUAAACUCCAUCCAAGGCUAAAUACAAGCACGAGUCCGAUAGCGAACAAGUACCGUGAGGGAAAGUUGAAAAGUACUUUGAAGAGAGAGUUAACAGUGCGUGAAACCGCUCAGAGGUAAGCAGGUGGAGUUGAACUGCAAGCUUUGAGAAUUCAGCUGGUGAGGUUGGUUUGAGCUUGGUCAAAUUGGUUGGACUCCGGGGUACGUCAACCUACGUGUCUUCACCCUCUGGGUGGGGAUUUGCGAUGCACUUAUCAGGUGCUGCAUGCCUCGGUUGUUCUUCGAGCCUCCUUGCCAGUGCACUUUCUCGGAGUGGUCACCACGACCGACGCCGCUGUCAGACUGUCAUAGUUAAACCGGUCUUGUGAUGUCCCUGUGGCAUUGCGUGGUCGGGAUGGCAGGUAGCUUGUUGGCUCGCUUCGGCUUGCCUUCGAGUGUAAUCAGCUGACUGUGAUGGUUCUGUGCAGUGCGUUGGAGACGGCGGCUAGUGGUGUGUGCAUGCGUGCCCGAUCUGCUGGCGUAUCCUGGUUUGGUUCCUAUGUUGCUUGCGACAGCAGGCCUAGUUAUGGCUGGGAUUCGUUCGGUGGAUGGUUGCGUGUGUGGCACUUCCAAGGGCCAAUAGUCUGUGGUGUAGUGGUAGACUAUCCACCUGACCCGUCUUGAAACACGGACCAAGGAGAGUAACAUGUGCGCGAGUCAUUGGGCGUAACGAAACCCACAGGCGCAGUGAAAGUAAAGGUUUGGCUUGUCCAGACUGAGGUGAGAUCCUGUCGUUUCCCACGCGCGGUAUCACCAAGCACGGAGCGGCAGGCGCAUC